CCGGCCGCCCACGGAGCUCGCAAAGUUCGGAUCCGCAAGGACCGGGCCAGCGGGACGUCCGCGUGGCAGGGUGCACUUUCUCCGCGGUCGAGUGCUACGACCGGUUUCGCGGCGGUCAGAAGCCCGGCGGAAAGGUAGCGCCGCCCCUCGGGGUGUCGUGUUAUAGGCCGCCGCGGUGGACUCGCCGCGAGACCGAGGACGCUUGCCGCGCCGAGCGGUCCCGGGCCGUCUUGGGUGGUUCGACCUCGGCUGCACUGCUCCGCAGAGCACCGUAACCGCCGCCCUAGCACGGGUCCGGAGACUGCCGGCGCCUCGGGUCAGUAGCG
rnacentral:rRNA from 1 species